GACGAACGCUGGCGGCGUGCUUAACACAUGCAAGUCGAGCGGUAAGGCCCUUUCGGGGGUACACGAGCGGCGAACGGGUGAGUAACACGUGGGUGACCUGCCCUCAGCUCUGGGAUAAGCCCGGGAAACCGGGUCUAAUACCGGAUAUGACUCCAUGACGCAUGUUGUGGGGUGGAAAGCCUUGUGCGGCUGAGGAUGGGCCCGCGGCCUAUCAGCUUGUUGGUGGGGUGAUGGCCACCAAGGCGACGACGGGUAGCCGGCCUGAGAGGGCGACCGGCCACACUGGGACUGAGACACGGCCCAGACUCCUACGGGAGGCAGCAGUGGGGAAUCUUGCGCAAUGGGCGAAAGCCUGACGCAGCGACGCCGCGUGAGGGAUGACGGCCUCGG
rnacentral:rRNA from 1 species